rnacentral:rRNA from 1 species
GUACACGCUGUGACUAGCAUAUCAAUAAGCGGAGGAAAAGAAACUAACAAGGAUUCCCCUAGUAACGGCGAGUGAAGCGGGAAGAGCUCAAAUUUGAAAUCUUAAAGGGUUUCCCUUUACGAACUGUAGUUUAAAGAAGUGUUUUCUGUUGAGGUUUUGGUAAAAGUUCUUUGGAAUAGGACAUCAUAGAGGGUGAGAAUCCCGUAUUUGACCUUUACUUUCAACUUUGUGAUACACUUUCAAAGAGUCGGAUUGUUUGGGAAUGCAGUCCAAAAUGGGUGGUAAAUUUCAUCUAAAGCUAAAUAUUGGCGAGAGACCGAUAGCGAACAAGUACCGUGAGGGAAAGAUGAAAAGAACUUUGAAAAGAGAGUUAAACAGUACGUGAAAUUGUCAAAAGGGAAGCGUUUGACACCAGUGUUGUUUUUCUGAAAAUCAAUUAAAGAACUGUUUAUGCUAAGCUGUUUAGACUUUAUCAGCUAUCUGUUUAGUUUUGAGCUUUUCUUUAAUGCACUUUUCAGUUAACAAGUCAACAUCAAUUUCUUUUGCUGUAAAAAAGCUUGAGGAAGGUGGCUUGAGAUUCGUCUUAAGUGUUUAUAGCCUCUUGCCUAUGCAGUCGGAGAGAUUGAGGUCUGCAGCGUAGAUCCUUCGGGGCUAAAUGCAUUUGUGCUAAGUUAUAGCAUUUUAUAGACAACUUGUUGACUAUGAUUUGUCUUGUAGCUUACUCGCUUAUGUUAUUUUACCUACGCUUAGGAUGUUGACGCGCGUGUGUGCGU